rnacentral:rRNA from 1 species
UGGGGAAUAUUGGACAAUGGGGGGAACCCUGAUCCAGCCAUGCCGCGUGUGUGAAGAAGGCCUUAUGGUUGUAAAGCACUUUAAGCGAGGAGGAGGGUACUGGUAUUAAUACUACCAGCUACUGGACGUUACUCGCAGAAUAAGCACCGGCUAACUCUGUGCCAGCAGCCGCGGUAAUACAGAGGGUGCGAGCGUUAAUCGGAUUUACUGGGCGUAAAGCGUGCGUAGGCGGCUAAUUGAGUCGGAUGUGAAAUCCCCGAGCUUAACUUGGGAAUUGCAUUCGAUACUGGUUAGCUAGAGUGUGGGAGAGGAUGGUAGAAUUCCAGGUGUAGCGGUGAAAUGCGUAGAGAUCUGGAGGAAUACCGAUGGCGAAGGCGACCACCUGGGCUCAUACUGACACUGAGGUGCGAAAGCGUGGGGAGCAAACAGG